GGCCUAACACAUGCAAGUCGAACGUGAAGCCACCUUCGGGUGGUGGAAAGUGGCAGACGGGUGAGUAACGCGUGGGAACGUGCCCUUCGGUUCGGGAUAACCCAGGAAACUUGGGCUAAUACCGGAUACGCCCUUCGGGGGAAAAAUUUAUUGCCGAAGGAUCGGCCCGCGUCGGAUUAGCUUGUUGGUAGGGUAAAAGCCUACCAAGGCGACGAUCCGUAGCUGGUCUGAGAGGAUGAUCAGCCACACUGGGACUGAGACACGGCCCAGACUCCUACGGGAGGCAGCAGUGGGGAAUAUUGGACAAUGGGCGAAAGCCUGAUCCAGCCAUGCCGCGUGGGUGAAGAAGGCCUCAGGGUUGUAAAUCCCUUUCAGCGGGGAAGAUAAUGACGGUACCGCAGAAGAAGCCCCGGCUAACUCCGUGCCAGCAGACCGCGGUAAUACGGAGGGGGCUAGCGUUGUUCGGAAUUACUGGGCGUAAAGCGCGCGUAGGCGGACCUGCAAGUCGGGGGUGAAAGCCCGAGGCUCAACCUCGGAACUGCCUUCGAUACUGGGGUCUUGAGUCCGGGAGAGGUGAGUGGAAUUCCUAGUGUAGAGGUGAA
rnacentral:rRNA from 2 species